rnacentral:rRNA from 1 species
UUUAUGGAGAGUUUGAUCCUGGCUCAGAGUGAACGCUGGCGGCGUGCCUAAUACAUGCAAGUCGAACGAUGAAGCUUCUAGCUUGCUAGAAUGCUGAUUAGUGGCGCACGGGUGAGUAAUGCAUAGGUCAUGUGCCUCUUAGUUUGGGAUAGCCAUUGGAAACGAUGAUUAAUACCAGAUACUCCCUACGGGGGAAAGAUUUAUCGCUAAGAGAUCAGCCUAUGUCCUAUCAGCUUGUUGGUAAGGUAAUGGCUUACCAAGGCUAUGACGGGUAUCCGGCCUGAGAGGGUGAACGGACACACUGGAACUGAGACACGGUCCAGACUCCUACGGGAGGCAGCAGUAGGGAAUAUUGCUCAAUGGGGGAAACCCUGAAGCAGCAACGCCGCGUGGAGGAUGAAGGUUUUAGGAUUGUAAACUCCUUUUGUUAGAGAAGAUAAUGACGGUAUCUAACGAAUAAGCACCGGCUAACUCCGUGCCAGCAGCCGCGGUAAUACGGAGGGUGCAAGCGUUACUCGGAAUCACUGGGCGUAAAGAGCGCGUAGGCGGGAUAGUCAGUCAGGUGUGAAAUCCUAUGGCUUAACCAUAGAACUGCAUUUGAAACUACUAUUCUAGAGUGUGGGAGAGGUAGGUGGAAUUCUUGGUGUAGGGGUAAAAUCCGUAGAGAUCAAGAGGAAUACUCAUUGCGAAGGCGACCUGCUGGAACAUUACUGACGCUGAUUGCGCGAAAGCGUGGGGAGCAAACAGGAUUAGAUACCCUGGUAGUCCACGCCCUAAACGAUGGAUGCUAGUUGUUGGAGGGCUUAGUCUCUCCAGUAAUGCAGCUAACGCAUUAAGCAUCCCGCCUGGGGAGUACGGUCGCAAGAUUAAAACUCAAAGGAAUAGACGGGGACCCGCACAAGCGGUGGAGCAUGUGGUUUAAUUCGAAGAUACACGAAGAACCUUACCUAGGCUUGACAUUGAGAGAAUCCGCUAGAAAUAGUGGAGUGUCUGGCUUGCCAGACCUUGAAAACAGGUGCUGCACGGCUGUCGUCAGCUCGUGUCGUGAGAUGUUGGGUUAAGUCCCGCAACGAGCGCAACCCCCUUUCUUAGUUGCUAACAGGUUAUGCUGAGAACUCUAAGGAUACUGCCUCCGUAAGGAGGAGGAAGGUGGGGACGACGUCAAGUCAUCAUGGCCCUUACGCCUAGGGCUACACACGUGCUACAAUGGGGUGCACAAAGAGAAGCAAUACUGCGAAGUGGAGCCAAUCUUCAAAACACCUCUCAGUUCGGAUUGUAGGCUGCAACUCGCCUGCAUGAAGCUGGAAUCGCUAGUAAUCGCAAAUCAGCCAUGUUGCGGUGAAUACGUUCCCGGGUCUUGUACUCACCGCCCGUCACACCAUGGGAGUUGUGUUUGCCUUAAGUCAGGAUGCUAAAUUGGCUACUGCCCACGGCACACACAGCGACUGGGGUGAAGUCGUAACAAGGUAACCGUAGGUGAACCUGCGGUUGGAUCACCUCCUUU